CAACUCCUCGUCCAAGUCUUCAUCUCCGAGGUAAACCUCUGCCUCUCACUUACCGUCUCAGCUCGAUUCAAUUCUCAAUCUCAUCUCCGAAUAUUCUCGGUCCUCGCAUCAAAUCACUCUGAAUCAAGCUCUCAUCAAAUGAAGAUCUACGCUAAUGAUGAUGGAGCAUCGUUAUUGUUAUUGCGUUAUGGUUGCAAUGUGCGAUGUAGAUAAGAAAUGGAAGAUGAAGAUGAUGAUGGAUGUUGAGAUGUUUUCGUUGUAGAGCGUGCGACUCAGAAUAUCUUGAGAGGUCGAAUAAUUCUUGGUGAUGAUUCAAAGAUGAUGGAGUAUCUUGAAGAAGAUUGUUGAGGAGAGAAGGUCGAAACUGAUUUGAGAACGAUGACGAUUACGUAAUUGAAUUUGUUGCAGUUGAAGAUUGAAUGAAGCAGAGAAUGGAGGAUGAAGAUUAUUGCAGUGAAUCACACGAUGUCGAGGAGGAAGAUGCUAAGGUCUUUUUUGUGAUGAUUUUGCAGCAGAAAUUGAAGUGGAUCGGUUCAGAGGUGAAGCUCCUUUCAUUCUUUUUUUCUUCGGUUUUCUGUUGUUGAUUUUCUGUCAAGAGUGAGGAAGAUCGAGAGCUUUUUUUGUUGUAGUUUCACUUUUCUGCAGAAUUGAAGAUGGGAGAAUGAAGAGAGAAUCGAUGAAGAUUUUGUGGGAGAAGUUGUAGGAAGUGGUGAGAUGAAUGGUGAAGGUUCAAUCGAGGAGAUGAAGUUUGAUGAAGAUGAGGUCCGAAAAAGUUUGUUACACGGUAGUGAUGAAUGAAGAGCAAUGGUGAAGUUUUCUGUCAUGAGGUGAAGAUUGAAGGUGGAGGUAGCGUGAAGAUUGAAAAUGGAGGUUUUCUGAACUCAGAGGGUUGCGGUUCGGUUUUCAAAUUGUGCAAGGCAGCCGGGUUUUUUUGUUAAGCUGCAAGUUUAGAGUAGUUAAAUGAAGAUGAAUCAAGACUUAGGAUUUGGAUUUUGGAUGGUGUUGCUUUGGACUGUGA